rnacentral:rRNA from 1 species
GACGAACGCUGGCGGCGUGCUUAACACAUGCAAGUCGAACGGAAAGGCCCUGCUUUUGUGGGGUGCUCGAGUGGCGAACGGGUGAGUAACACGUGAGUAACCUGCCCUUGACUUUGGGAUAACUUCAGGAAACUGGGGCUCAUACCGGAUAGGAGCUCCUGCUGCAUGGUGGGGGUUGGAAAGUUUCGGCGGUUGGGGAUGGACUCGCGGCUUAUCAGCUUGUUGGUGGGGUAGUGGCUUACCAAGGCUUUGACGGGUAGCCGGCCUGAGAGGGUGACCGGCCACAUUGGGACUGAGAGACGGCCCAGACGCCUACGGGAGGCAGCAGUGGGGAAUAUUGCACAAUGGGCGGAAGCCUGAGGCAGCAACGCCGCGUGCGGGAUGACGGCCUUCGGGUUGUAAACCGCUUUCGCCUGUGACGAAGCGUGAGUGACGGUAAUGGGUAAAGAAGCACCGGCUAACUACGUG